rnacentral:lncRNA from 10 species
CUUUGUUCUUCACUUCUUUGGGUGCAUGCUGCUUUUGUGAGCUGUAACACCGCGAAGGUCUGCAGCUUCACUCUUGAAGCCAGUGAGACCAGGAACCCACCAGAAGGAAGAAAGUCCAAACGCAUCCGAACUUCAGAAGGAACAGACUCUAGACACGCAGCCUUUAAGACCUGUGACACUCACGGCGAGGGUCCGCGGCUUUAUUCUUGAAGUUAGUGAGACCAAGAACCUACCAAUUCCGGACACACUGGAUUUACAGGCUCAUCCUGAUCUCUCUGGAGACCUUCCUUUCCCAAACCAUGACUGUGAUCUAUUAUGUGGUUCACCUUUCAACAUCCUUUCCAUAAAGAAGGAAUUCUAACGGCUAAUGAACUUGAAUAAACUGUUCUACCUCACUAGUUCUCAAAACAAAAACAACACUGAGUUCUACUUCUGCUUAGAAUGUAUAAAACUCGAGAAUAUUGCUCCUAUACCAAUAAGAAAAAGUCAGAUAAUCUAUUAUACAAAAAUGUUCCUUUUCUUGAGCCCAAAGAGCUACCAUCAUGAAGCAAUCAGGUAACCUGAAUUAGGUGGUGAGCUGGUGUAUGUUUAAUAAUUGGUCCUCAGUGGGAGAAAGGGAGGGUGCUAAUUUGAAGGAUUUGUCAGUUUCAAGCUACCAAUGUCAUGCUGCUGACCCAGAGAUGUGCAGCCAGGUCUCAUGAGCCAGUGUGAGCCAGCUUCAGCUCACCAUGGACUGAGUUCCAAAGAGUAGCCCUUCUGAGGAAAAACGGGACACAGGAACUACUGCACCUUAGGCAGAGCACAGGAGAAAGAUGGCCUCUGCCAAAAAAGUGGGUAGUAAGAAAAUAGAUACACUUCUAACACAUUCUUAAAGGGCAAGAAUAGGCUUGCCUGACUUCAGGACCCCAGGGAUCCCUGGAUGCUCCUUUAGUUCACAUCCACUCAUGAGCUUGUUCCAGAGGCCUGCACUGGGAGCCCUGGAGAAAGCAGAAGACCCGAGGGAGACCCCACUGGUGGUAGGGACAUGAAAGCCCACCUACUUCCCAGGCCCAUUAUCGUGAAACCCAUGGUAAAAACGUGAAGCACACGGGGGAGAAGAAAGGAGCCACCCUGUCCCCCACCCCUAAUCGCAGGCAGGCAAAGGCAAACCACUUGAGGGGGAGGGUGAGUAGAAGCAAAAGUUGUCUGCCCUUAAGGGAAGGGCAGUAAACCCCCACCCUUCCAUUUGUCCCCCACACAAGACUUG